GCCACUCAGGCGUAGCAAGAUGAUCUCGCAGGCUCAGCUCAUCUGGCUGUUAAUGCUCUGGAUCCAGGGCUCCAGUGGGCAGAUUGUGAUGACUCAGACUCCAGAAUCCGUGGCAGUGUUGCCAGGAGACAGGGUGACCAUCAACUGCAAAGCCAGUUCCAGCAUCACCAGUGGUAGCACUCACAUCUUAGCUUGGUACCAACAGAAAACAGGACAAGCUCCGAAGCGCCUUAUCUACUAUGCUUCCACCCGCGACUCUGGGAUCCCAGACCGGUUCACCGGCAGUGGGUCUGGAACCGAUUUCACUCUCACAAUCAGCAGCGUUCAAACUGAAGAUGCUGGAGAUUAUUAUUGUCAGCAAGGCUAUAGCUCACCUCUCACAGUGAUACAGACCAAUACAAAAACCACCCUCUUCUGUUCCAUUCUGUCACAGCUGCUUCCUGCAAACAGCCGCCUUCUCAGUGCAAAUGCUAUGUUAUUUGGGGGCAAACUUUCAGCCCCAGAAACAUAUAUACCUGCCGUCUCCACCAUAUAA